UACGAAGGGGGCUAGCGUUGCUCGGAAUCACUGGGCGUAAAGGGUGCGUAGGCGGGCCUUUAAGUCAGGGUUGAAAUCCUGGAGCUCAACUCCAGAACUGCCUUUGAUACUGAAGAUCUUGAGUCCGGGAGAGGUGAGUGGAACUGCGAGUGUAGAGGUGAAAUUCGUAGAUAUUCGCAAGAACACCAGUGGCGAAGGCGGCUCACUGGCCCGGUACUGACGCUGAGGUGCGAAAGCGUGGGGAGCAAACAGG
rnacentral:rRNA from 1 species